AACUGAUACUACCUGCGGGAACCUGCGGAGGGAUCAUUACCGAGUUAUACAACUCCCAAACCCACUGUGAACCUUACCUCAGUUGCCUCGGCGGGACCGCCCCGGCCGCCGCGCAAGCGGCGCCGGACUCCAAGGCGCCCGCCGCAGGGACCCAAAACUCUUUUGCAUUACGCCCAACGGCGGGAAUUUUUUUCUCUGAGUGCAUAAGCAAAACAAAUGAAUCAAAACUUUCAGCAACGG
rnacentral:misc_RNA from 1 species